CCUCCUCGAUCUGCUGCGGGCAGAUGUAGUGGAUGUGGCUGUCGAACCCGCCCGCCGUGAGGAUUUUUCCUUCCCCCGCGAUGACUUCCGUCCCCGGUCCGACGACGAUGUCGACGCCGGGCUGGAUGUCCGGGUUGCCGGCCUUGCCGAGCCUGACGAUGCGGCCCUUCACGAUGCCGACGUCGCAUUUCACCACGCCCCAAUGGUCCAGCACCACCGCGUUGGUGAUGACGGUGUCGACAGCCCCGUCGGCGUUCGUCACCUGGGACUGCCCCAUGCCAUCGCGAAU
rfam:Methylobacterium sp. Leaf399 contig_7, whole genome shotgun sequence.